rnacentral:rRNA from 1 species
AGAGUUUGCUUUUGGCUCAGGAUGAACGCUGGCGGCGUGCCUAACACAUGCAAGUCGAGCGAGAAGCCUGCAGAAGAUUCUUCGGAUGAUUCAGUAGGUGGAAAGCGGCGGACGGGUGAGUAACGCGUAGGCAACCUGCCCUUAGCAGAGGGAUAGCCUCGGGAAACCGGGAUUAAAACCUCAUAAAACUUCUGUUAGACAUCUAAUAGAGGUCAAAGAUUUAUCGGCUAAGGAUGGGCCUGCGUCUGAUUAGCCGGUUGGUGAGGUAACGGCUCACCAAAGCAAUGAUCAGUAGCCGACCUGAGAGGGUGAUCGGCCACAUUGGAACUGAGACACGGUCCAAACUCCUACGGGAGGCAGCAGUGGGGAAUAUUGCACAAUGGAGGAAACUCUGAUGCAGCAACGCCGCGUGAAGGAAGAAGGCCCUUGGGUCGUAAACUUCUGUUCUGAGGGAAGAUAGUGACGGUACCUCAGGAGCAAGUCCCGGCUAACUACGUGCCAGCAGCCGCGGUAAUACGUAGGGGGCGAGCGUUGUCCGGAAUGAUUGGGCGUAAAGGGCGCGUAGGCGGCCUGCUAAGUCUGGAGUGAAAGUCCUGCUUUCAAGGUGGGAAUUGCUUUGGAUACUGGUAGGCUGGAGUGCAGGAGAGGAAAGCGGAAUUACCGGUGUAGCGGUGAAAUGCGUAGAGAUCGGUAGGAACACCAGUGGCGAAGGCGGCUUUCUGGACUGAAACUGACGCUGAGGCGCGAAAGCGUGGGGAGCAAACAGGAUUAGAUACCCUGGUAGUCCACGCGGUAAACGAUGAAUGCUAGGUGUAGGAGGUAUCGACCCCUUCUGUGCCGGAGUUAACACAAUAAGCAUUCCGCCUGGGGAGUACGGCCGCAAGGUUGAAACUCAAAGAAAUUGACGGGGGCCCGCACAAGCAGCGGAGCAUGUGGUUUAAUUCGAAGCAACGCGAAGAACCUUACCAGGUCUUGACAUCCAAUAAAACUUGUAGAGAUACAUCGUGCCUUCGGGCGUAUUGAGACAGGUGGUGCAUGGUUGUCGUCAGCUCGUGUCGUGAGAUGUUGGGUUAAGUCCCGCAACGAGCGCAGCCCCUGUCGUUAGUUGCCAGCAUUCAGUUGGGGACUCUAACGAGACUGCCAGUGACAAACUGGAGGAAGGUGGGGAUGACGUCAAAUCAUCAUGCCCCUUAUGACCUGGGCUACACACGUGCUACAAUGGUUGGUACAAAGAGAAGCGAAGCGGUGACGUGGAGCAAACCUCAUAAAGCCAAUCUCAGUUCGGAUUGUAGGCUGCAACUCGCCUACAUGAAGUUGGAAUCGCUAGUAAUCGCGAAUCAGCAUGUCGCGGUGAAUACGAACCCGGGUCUUGCACACACCGCCCGUCA